AUGCUGGAGGUAUCAGAAGUGCGAAUGCUGACAUAAGUAACGAUAAAGCGGGUGAAAAGCCCGCUCGCCGGAAGACCAAGGGUUCCUGUCCAACGUUAAUCGGGGCAGGGUGAGUCGACCCCUAAGGCGAGGCCGAAAGGCGUAGUCGAUGGGAAACAGGUUAAUAUUCCUGUACUUGGUGUUACUGCGAAGGGGGGACGGAGAAGGCUAUGUUGGCCGGGCGACGGUUGUCCCGGUUUAAGCGUGUAGGCUGGUUUUCCAGGCAAAUCCGGAAAAUCAAGGCUGAGGCGUGAUGACGAGGCACUACGGUGCUGAAGCAACAAAUGCCCUGCUUCCAGGAAAAGCCUCUAAGCAUCAGGUAACAUCAAAUCGUACCCCAAACCGACACAGGUGGUCAGGUAGAGAAUACCAAGGCGCUUGAGAGAACUCGGGUGAAGGAACUAGGCAAAAUGGUGCCGUAACUUCGGGAGAAGGCACGCUGAUAUGUAGGUGA
rnacentral:rRNA from 1 species